CACUGUCACAUGGAUGUCACAGUCCCAGGCCCCACUGAGCCUCCUGUCAAGUCUGUCCUGCUGAGCUGCUGGGGCUGGUCUGGUCAGCCCAGGCAGGUUUGGGGAUGGGCAGAGCUCACCCUGCUGUUCACAUGCUGGGUGUGUUGGUAAUGGGAGGGCUGGGCACAUCCAGAGCAGCCCAGCAGCAGGGGACCUGAGCUCUUCUCAGGCACUGUGCAGCCCCACUGAGGCCAGCUGAUAACCCAGGUAAAGCUGAGAAUCAGGAAGGAAGGAACACAGAAAGAAGGAACACAUACUGCUCUGUUAGUCACUGUUUCAUUCUUUGAUAAAGCAGACAUGGCCAAAGAUUGCUGGCACUUGGCAUUCAGACAUAUGAACCCAAGGAGAGGCAAUGCGAGUUCAAGGUUCACCUGAACUUCUGUUUAUAAUUCUAUCAUAAUUCUGUCAUCUAUCAUAAGGAUUCUCCCUAACUUCUAGAGAUCCCUGAAGGGUAUGUGGUUGCAAGGAUAGACGAGAUAAUGUUUGGUCUAAACUAAAAGCCCAGCACUUUUUGUGUGCACGCUUCUGAAAAAUAUAUCAGCAAAAUUUUGGGAAAAUAAAGUUUCUAUACAUCCUGAUUCUGGUCAGAAUUAGAGCAUAGACAGUUGGGGGAUAUUCAGAUGUUAUUUAGACCUGUUGACCCACAGGAUCUUUCAGAAGGCCUGUUUUCACAAGGAAGAAAUUACACAUCUUGCAGAUAACUGAAGCAUGGAGGCUUCUUAGAGCAAAACAACUCCUGAUUCAAAGCUCUGUUAAGACAAAACUCUCCUUGGCCUUUAUGAACUUGGAAUAAACUUGAAAGCAGAUCUUGAAUAUCAUAUUAUUUCAAAAGUUUAUUUUUUUGCAUAAAUCCUGCCUAAAAUGUCAGUAAGUGAAAAAGAUCUAUUAAUUAUCUGGGUAACAACUGCAUGAUGCACUGGGAAAAAGUGCCACACAUUGCUCCUGUUCUUUCCUACUUUGAUUUGUAUGACACAAAAUAUUUGGUUUAAUUUUUCUUUUAGCAGAUAGAUGCCAGCGUGAACUGAUAUGAGGAUGUCACUUUUCAUAAGUAAUUUUUUACAAGCUCACUAUCUAAUCUUUCUGAUUGGCAAGUCUAAGGAACCUGCACUGUUAAUCAGUGCACCAGCAUCAAAUUAAAAACAAUCCUCUGUCAUGCAGAUGACUGGUUGGCUAAAGCAAAUAAGACAGGAGUCCAAGAAGCUGCUGUGCCUUUCUCUGUGAACUGAGCAAAUGCUUUCAUGUCGAGUAUUUCUGUGCUACAAAAUCCAGGCAGAACACCCAGGGAAACCAGACAAAAAAGACAGAUGUUUGGACUGACUACUCACUACGAUUUGAUUGACACAUUGGUUGGCUUCGCACAGUUACUGAGGAAACCUUCAUGUGAAGUGGGAUGUUUCCCAAGAAUUGCAAGGCCACCUGCAACUCCAACCCUUCCUUCCUCCUCCAAGUUAAACGGUACCACAGGGAUUCCUGAACUGGAAUGUUGGUUACUUCCAUGAAAAAACAACAUUCAAGAAGCCAGUCUCUAUCUUGGAAAUGACUCCAUGGACACAUCUUUCAACAGGGAGCCCACACUGGAGAUCUUGGUUCCUGAGGGAUUGCUCCCUGUGGACAGGAAUCAUGCUGGAGCAGCUUUUGAAGAACUGCAGCCCACGGGAAGGCCACUCCCUGGAGCAGUUUGUGAAGGGUUGUAUCCUGUGGGAGCCUCCCACUCUGGAGCAGGGAAGAGGAUGAGGAGUAAAGAAGAGCAGAGAUGAAACAUAAGGAACUGACACCCCCUCCCAUUCCCCAUCAUCCUGCUCUGCUUGGGAGGGAGGAAGUGAAAGAGAUAGGAGGAAAAUUCAGCCUGGGAUGAUGGGAGGCGGUUGAGAAAGUGGUUUACAAUUUAGUCAUAUUUCUCAUCACCCUAUUCUGUUUAAUUCUCUAUAUCUUAAACUAAUUUCCCCUAAAUGGAGCCUGUUUUGCCCAUUAUGGUAAUUGGUAAAUGAUUUUCCUGUCCUUGUCUUGGUCCAAUAUCAGCCUAUGAGCUUUUCCUCAUAAUUUCCCCCUGUCCUAUGAGAACGAGGUGAUAGAGCAGCUUGGUGAGCACCCAGCAGCCAGGCAAAGUUAGCAUGCCACAAAAUGAAUAUUUCAGGUCAUUUAAGAGGGAAAAAAGACCUGCUUCUGCCUGGAUUAUAGAUAAAAACUAUUUUAUCUCUAGUCCACAAGUGUCUGUUAGUUCAGAAGUGGGAUGUACUAUAGAUUCACAGAACACUAGUUACAUGCUUCUAUUAUUGUAGAUUAUGUAUUUAUUCGUUGUGUAAAACUUCUAACCAUUUUCAGGUGAAUCAAUGUUUUUUCCUUCUAUCACAAAUAAUGGUCAUAAUACCAAGAAAUAUGAAGAUUAUAAAUGAAAAAUAUUUCUGUUUAUGCAUAAAGUCAUUGGCUUCUUGCAAAAUUUGAAAUGAAAAAUCUGAGGUGACUCUAGUAGAAUUGUUUACA